rnacentral:tRNA from 1 species
GGCCUCGUAGUACAAAGGAUAGUAUAAGAGCCUCCGAAGCUCCUGAUCCCGGUUCGAUUCCAGGCGAGGCUA